GCAGUAGCCGCGGUAACACCGAGGGUGCAAGCGUUAAUCGGAAUUACUGGGCGUAAAGCGCGCGUAGGUGGUUUGUUAAGUUGGAUGUGAAAUCCCCGGGCUCAACCUGGGAACUGCAUCCAAAACUGGCAGGCUAGAGUAGGGCAGAGGGUGGUGGAAUUUCCUGUGUAGCGGUGAAAUGCGUAGAUAUAGGAAGGAACACCAGUGGCGAAGGCGACCACCUGGGCUCAUACUGACACUGAGGUGCGAAAGCGUGGGGAGCAAACAGGAUUAGAUACCCCGGUAGUCCCUGUCUCUUAUAA
rnacentral:rRNA from 1 species